GGUUAUUCACUUCAUGUUGACCAGCGUGACCUUGUUGUUGGAUCCUGAAAUAUAACAAGAAGGAUAUGAAGUCUCAUACAAUUGAAGAAAAUCAACCAAUGUGCUAGCUUAUAUCUUAGGCGUCUAGCACACAGGAUGCUUUUAUUGGAGGCAUUAUAUUACAUGUCAUUAACAAGGUUAAUAGAAGUAUUGUUAGUGAAUCUAUCAAGAAAUGUGGACAUGGAGAUCUCACUUGAAAUCAAGGACUUUAGAGCCUGUUUUGAGAUGCAUGCAGGUAGAUGAUCCUGCAUUUGCUAAUGUAACUGUUGGCAACUGCGGAUCAACAGAUAGUUAUUUACACUCUGUUAUGAAUUAAGGAAGUAAGGGUGCAUUUGGAUGCACUUUACAAUCACUAUAUUUGGUGAUUUUAGAAAUUCCAAUUCAUUAUUUUCAGAAUUCUGCUGUCUGGUGGUGCUGUAGAAAUUCAUAAAACUCCUUAAAUCAUGAAAUUGAAAGAUUUUCUUACUUUAGUAAGAUUUUCUAAGUUCAUAAAUUUCUCCUCCCUAUCAUCUUGAAACUUUGUAUCCUAGAUC
rnacentral:lncRNA from 1 species